UGGUGGUGAUGGAUACUUUAUUCAUCCCGAGGGGAAUUACACUGAUUACCAUGAUGGUAACGCUGUGAGAAUGCAAAGCACCCAGAAACAAGAAAUCUGACACAAAUGUCUAUCCACACACUGCUCCAUCCUCUUCAUCACAAGGUCGAGCAGAGUGACCACAGCUUUAUCUACCGCUGCCCCCGUGGCUGCACUCGUCUCAAAGUAUGGGAUCCUGCAGAGAGAAACAGAAAUGUGAACCUUUUGGUCGAGGUGAAUACAUGAGAACAAAGAGUAAGUGACACCUACUGUCCUUUGGGCCUCUUUGUCUCUUAAACGUUGUUCUUUUAUCUAUCCACACUCC